rnacentral:RNase_P_RNA from 1 species
UAAGCGGGCCGAACGGUCGCGGCAUGGCUCAGGCUGUGUCGAGGAAAGUCCGGGCUCCACAGGGCUGGACGCUUCGUAACGCGAAGGCGGAGUGAUCCGACGGAAAGUGGAACAGAAAAUACACAGCCUCUUCAGAGGCAAUGGUGAAAAGGUGCGGUAAGAGCGCACCAGCGUCAUGGUGACAUGGCGGCUUGCCAAACCCCGUCCGGAGCAAGUCCAAAUAGAGGACCUAUGGUGUUGCCCGCACCGGUCCCGGGUAGGAUGCUAGAGGCGUAUGGUGACAUGCGUCCCAGAUGAAUGACCGUUCAGAGGCGCUCAGGCGUUUCGGACAGAACCCGGCUUACAGGCCCGCUUCUUUU